AAGCAUUUCAGGGUGAAGAGGCGGGUGCGACACCGCACAAGUCCUGGGCACAAAGCUAACCAAGCUGAGAGAGCUUUGCGGUGACAUGCCUAGUGAAAAACCAGAGCAUCUGCACAGAGCUCCAGGCACGCAGGAAAUGAUGCAAUUAAUUACAAAAGGAGUCAAGAAACCUUACAGCCCAGCCUUAGUUCAGAAACCCUCAUGAAACAGAAGCAGAAGGAUAUAACUCAAUUUUGAAAGUGCCAACCAUUCCAGGUGAAGAAAUAGAACCCAAGAGACCCUUCUCUGCUGCAAGAUGGAAGGAGGCUUAAGUAAGACAUAAAUUUGUAGUAACUUGUUCACGACAACGUCUGGCGCCACUGUGAGUUACAGCCAUCCUCCAUUACCACAAAAUUAGGUGAACCAG